GACGAACGUUGGCGGCGUGCUUAAUACAUGCAAGUCCACUGAAGCAGUGGUAGCAAUAUCGCUGUGGAGGUGGCGCACGGGUGAGUAACACGUAGGUAAUCUGCCUUCAGGUCUGGCAUAACUCCGGGAAACCGGGGCUAAUAGCAGAUGAUGCAGCGGCUCGACAUCGAGACAGUUGUUAAAGCUAUGGCGCCUGAAGAUGAGCCUGCGUCUGAUUAGCUAGUUGGCGGGGUAACGGCCCACCAAGGCAACGAUCAGUAGCUGGUCUGAGAGGAUGAUCAGCCACACUGGAACUGAGACACGGUCCAGACUCCUACGGGAGGCAGCAGUAAGGAAGAUUGCUCAAUGGGAGAAAUCCUGAAGCAGCAACGCCGCGUGAGGGACGAAGGGCUUUUGCUUGUAAACCUCUGUAGUGAGAGAAAAAAAUCCCAAUCUUUGGGACACGAUGGUAUCUCAAAAGUAAGCCCCGGCUAACUACGUG
rnacentral:rRNA from 1 species